GGACGAACGCKGGCGGCGUGCUUAACACAUGCAAGUCGAACGGAAAGGCCCYWGCUUGCWGGGGUACUCGAGUGGCGAACGGGUGAGUAACACGUGGGUGAUCUGCCUUGCACUCUGGGAUAAGCUUGGGAAACUGGGUCUAAUACCGGAUAGGAACCGUCUUUAGUGUGGUGGUUGGAAAGUUUUUUCGGUGCAAGAUGAGCUCGCGGCCUAUCAGCUUGUUGGUGGGGUAAUGGCCUACCAAGGCGUCGACGGGUAGCCGGCCUGAGAGGGUGUACGGCCACAUUGGGACUGAGAUACGGCCCAGACUCCUACGGGAGGCAGCAGUGGGGAAUAUUGCACAAUGGGCGGAAGCCUGAUGCAGCGACGCCGCGUGGGGGAUGACGGCCUUCGGGUUGUAAACUCCUUUCGACAGGGACGAAGCKCAWGKGACGGUACCUGKWUAAGAAGCAMC
rnacentral:rRNA from 1 species